rnacentral:tRNA from 5 species
GCGGGUAUAGCUCAGUUGGUAGAGCGCGACCUUGCCAAGGUCGAGGUCACCGGUUCGAACCCGGUUACCCGCUCCA